GUAAUUCUUCGGGGUUGGGUGUAAUUCCCUACCGGCGGUAUAGUCCGCGACCCGUGCUUAUGCACGGUUGAUAUGGUGCGAUUCCAUAACCGACAGUAAAGUCUGGAUGAGAGAAGAAAAUG
rnacentral:ncRNA from 2 species